AACCUGCGGAAGGAUCAUUACCGAGUGAGGGCCCUCUGGGUCCAACCUCCCACCCGUGUUUAUUUUACCUUGUUGCUUCGGCGGGCCCGCCUUAACUGGCCGCCGGGGGGCUUACGCCCCCGGGCCCGCGCCCGCCGAAGACACCCUCGAACUCUGUCUGAAGAUUGAAGUCUGAGUGAAAAUAUAAAUUAUUUAAAACUUUCAACAACGGAUCUCUUGGUUCCGGCAUCGAUGAAGAACGCAGCGAAAUGCGAUACGUAAUGUGAAUUGCAAAUUCAGUGAAUCAUCGAGUCUUUGAACGCACAUUGCGCCCCCUGGUAUUCCGGGGGGCAUGCCUGUCCGAGCGUCAUUGCUGCCCUCAAGCCCGGCUUGUGUGUUGGGCCCCGUCCCCCGAUCUCCGGGGGACGGGCCCGAAAGGCAGCGGCGGCACCGCGUCCGGUCCUCGAGCGUAUGGGGCUUUGUCACCCGCUCUGUAGGCCCGGCCGGCGCUUGCCGAUCAACCCAAAUUUUUAUCCAGGUGACCUCGGAUCAGGUA
rnacentral:rRNA from 1 species